rnacentral:rRNA from 1 species
AAAUUGAAGAGUUUGAUCAUGGCUCAGAUUGAACGCUGGCGGCAGGCCUAACACAUGCAAGUCGAACGGUAACAGGAAGCAGCUUGCUGCUUCGCUGACGAGUGGCGGACGGGUGAGUAAUGUCUGGGAAACUGCCUGAUGGAGGGGGAUAACUACUGGAAACGGUGGCUAAUACCGCAUAACGUCGCAAGACCAAAGAGGGGGACCUUCGGGCCUCUUGCCAUCAGAUGUGCCCAGAUGGGAUUAGCUUGUUGGUGAGGUAAUGGCUCACCAAGGC